UACGGAGGGUGCUAGCGUUGUUCGGAAUUACUGGGCGUAAAGGGCGCGUAGGCGGCCUGCUAAGUCGAACGUGAAAUCCCUGGGCUCAACCCAGGAACUGCGUCCGAUACUGGUUGGCUUGAAUCCGGGAGAGGGACGUGGAAUUCCAGGUGUAGCGGUGAAAUGCGUAGAUAUCUGGAGGAACACCGGUGGCGAAGGCGACGUCCUGGACCGGCAUUGACGCUGAGGCGCGAAAGCCAGGGGAGCAAACGGG
rnacentral:rRNA from 1 species